AUUGGAAUUCCUCUAGAUAGACGGAUCCCAUCCCUGGAGAAGUGUACAUUGGUGUGGCUAUAUGCCAUCUCAGUGGCUUUCCCUGGUUUUGGAGACAGUCCCUGAGCAGAAAAGCUGGAGAGUCUUUGGUAGAAGCUUGAGUUUGGGAAUCUGGCACUGCACUCAGAAGCAGAACUGCCCACCAUAGCAGAGCUAAAAUCAGAAUAUUUCCUGGGGAAUGUGAAACCUUCAUCCGCUGCUGGUGCGAGUGUGAGCUGGUGCAGCCAUUCUGAAGCUAUUUUGAAUUGGAUGUUGUCAUUUGCAAUGAAAGGAGUCCAGAUACAAAGGCACGUAUAUUUCCCAUUUUAAGUGACUGAACAAGAGAAGUAAAUCUUCUGAAUGGAAUGCAGCAAGCUCACAAAGUCCUGCUUCCUUUAGAAAAUCACCCUGCAAUGUACAUCACAAAUGAGAUAAUUCUCCUAGACUAAGUCCUAAAGUAGUGAUUUUUAUAAAGGGCGUGGUAAAGGAUUUUGGGGAGAGGAGAAAGUUGUGUAUGCUUGGGAAAUAAUGUACUCAAUACAAUAAUAUAUUAAGCAAUGAAAUAUAAAGCAACAUAAUAUUAUAUACAUAAAAUAUUCUGUAUUAUACUGAAUAAUAAAAAUAUAUAUUUAUUUU
rnacentral:lncRNA from 1 species